rnacentral:rRNA from 1 species
UGGGGAAUUUUGCACAAUGGGGGAAACCCUGAUGCAGCGACGCCGCGUGAUUUAGAAGGCCUUCGGGUUGUAAAAAUCUUUUCUAUGGAAGAAAAUGACCGUAACAUAGGAAUAAGGACCGGCUAAUUACGUGCCAGCAGCCGCGGUAAUACGUAAGGUCCGAGCGUUGUCCGGAAUCAUUGGGCGUAAAGGGUACGUAGGCGGGUAAGCAAGUUAGAAGUGAAAUCCUAUAGCUCAACUAUAGUAAGCUUUUAAAACUGCUCAUCUUGAGGUAUGGAAGGGAAAGUGGAAUUCCUAGUGUAGCGGUGAAAUGCGCAGAUAUUAGGAGGAAUACCGGUGGCGAAGGCGACUUUCUGGCCAUAACCUGACGCUGAGGUACGAAAGCGUGGGUAGCAAACAGG